GAUCUCGUAGCGCAAGGGUAGAGCGUUUGCCUCCAGAGCAAAAGGUUGCGUGUUCGAAUCACGUCGAGAUCA
rnacentral:tRNA from 1 species